rnacentral:misc_RNA from 1 species
GGAAGAGUUGAACGUGACAGAUAUUCAAAUUACAGAAGGUAUUCUCCUAGGCGCUAUAGAAGCCCUCCUAGAGGAAGAUCUCCGCUAAGAUACAGAAACAGAAGAAGCAGGACUCCUUCUGCAUCCCGUAGUCCUCGUUACCGUAGUCGUCGUUAUAGCCGUAGCCGAAGCCCUAUUAGGAGCCGUUCCCCAGUUGAGGGAUCCAGGUCUCGUUUGUCUCCUAGAGUAGUUAGGCGGAGAUCUCCUUCAAGGAGCAGAUCCCCAUCAAAAUCAAGGUCCCCUGCUGAUUCACCAUCCCCAAGAAGAACGAGCAGAGAUAGGUCCAGGUCACCUUCUGGUAGUCCAGAUGGGAAGAAGGGUCUGGUUUCUUACGGUGAUGGAUCUCCAGAUUCAGAGAGGUGAAAAAGAUAUUGAAAUGAAGAUGUUCCAGCUCUCUCCUCCUUGUUACUUGAAAGGAAAAGGAAAAAAAACCUUUAUUAUGAUUUCGUGGAGACCAUCCAAAAUGGAUUUCUAGCCUUUGUAUUAAAUCCGGCUUAGAGUUGUAUCAGAGUAUGCUUCCUAGGAUAUGUAGUGAAUAAUAUUG